CCACAGGAACCUUUACUGGACCGACUGGAACCGCGAAGCCCCCAAAAUCGAAACUUCCACCGUCACCGGCGCCAACCGGCGCGUCCUGGUGGACAAGGAUAUCGGGCUGCCCAACGGGCUGACGUUCGACCCCUUCUCCAAGCUGCUCUGUUGGGCGGAUGCAGGAACGAAGCACCUGGAGUGCACGCUCCCGGACGGCACGGGCAGGCGCGUGGUGCAGAACAACCUCAACUACCCCUUCAGCAUCGUGAGCUACGCGGACCACUUCUACCACACCGACUGGCGCCGGGAUGGUGUGAUAGCUGUCAAUAAAGAUACCGGCGCCUUUACCGAUGAGUAUCUUCCAGAGCAGCGAUCACAUCUUUAUGGAAUAACUGCAGUUUAUCCCUACUGCCCUGGAGCAAGAAAAUAGUAACUACUACUUCAAGUAAC